rnacentral:rRNA from 1 species
AGCGAACGCUGGCGGCAGGCCUAACACAUGCAAGUCGAACGAAGCCUUCGGGCUUAGUGGCGGACGGGUGAGUAACACGUGGGAACGUACCUUUUGGUUCGGAACAACUCAGGGAAACUUGAGCUAAUACCGGAUGAGCCCUUAGGGGGAAAGAUUUAUCGCCGAAAGAGCGGCCCGCGUUAGAUUAGCUAGUUGGUGAGGUAAAGGCUCACCAAGGCAACGAUCUAUAGCUGGUCUGAGAGGAUGAUCAGCCACACUGGGACUGAGACACGGCCCAGACUCCUACGGGAGGCAGCAGUGGGGAAUCUUGGACAAUGGGCGCAAGCCUGAUCCAGCCAUGCCGCGUGAGUGAAGAAGGCCUUAGGGCUGUAAAGCUCUUUUACCAGGGACGAUAAUGACGGUACCUGGAGAAUAAGCCCCGGCAAACUUCGUGCCAGCCGCCGCCGUAAUAC